UGACAAUUAAUUAGAAUAUUAAACUAAAUUCGACUGCACUGUACAGGUUUAUUUCACAAAGCGAUAUCGCAAAGCGGCGUUGCAACAAAUCCUUGGGCUUUAACUGAAUGGACAAACCAAGCGGAAAGCAGAGGUUUCCAACUUGCCAAACAACUUGGAAGGCCGACAACAGAUCCGAAAGUCGCCUACGAAUUUCUUAAAACAAUCGACGCGAAAAAACUCGUAGAAACUACACAGAAGUCCCUUACCACGAAAGUAGAUCGUCUACAAUAUCUUAUAGUAUUUACACCCACUUUAGAUUACGAAUCACCGAAUCCAUUCUUUCCGGAGCAUCCAAAUACGUUAAUGCGCCGCGGAGUUAAAGUACCGUUCCUCUUAGGAAAUACCAGCUGCGAAGGAUCUUUCCUUAUUUGCAGUCAAUUAUUUGGAC